GACGAACGCUGGCGGCGCGCUUAACACAUGCCAGUCGAACGGAAAGGCCUGCUUUCCCUUGUGGAUUGCGGGUACUCGAGUGGCGAACGGGUGAGUAACACGUGAGUGAUCUGCCCCCAACUUGGGUAUAAGCCUGGGAAACUGGGUCUAAUUCCCGAUAGGACUGCAGGGUGGUGCCUGUGGUGGAAAACGAUUUUCUAGUGGUUGGGGAUGAGCUCGCGGCCCAUCAGCUUGUUGGUGGGGUAAUGGCCUACCAAGGCGGCGACGGGUAGCCGGCCUGAGAGGGUGGACGGCCACAUUGGGACUGAGAUACGGCCCAGACUCCUACGGGAGGCAGCAGUGGGGAAUAUUGCACAAUGGGCGGAAGCCUGAUGCAGCGACGCCGCGUGGGGGAUGACGGCCUUCGGGUUGUAAACUCCUUUCGACCGCGAGGAAGCCACCUGGUUGGAAGGGUGGUGACGGUAGUGGUAGAAGAAGCACCGGCUAACUACGUG
rnacentral:rRNA from 1 species